rnacentral:rRNA from 1 species
AUUGAACGCUGGCGGCAGGCCUAACACAUGCAAGUCGAACGAGUGGCGGACGGGUGAGUAAUGUCUGGGAAACUGCCUGAUGGAGGGGGAUACAUACUGGAAACGGUAGCUAAUAACGCAUACCAUCAGAUGUGCCCAGAUGGGAUUAGCUAGGGGGUGGGGUAACGGCUCACAAAGGCGACGAUCACUAGCGGGUCUGAGCGGAUGACCAGCCACACUGGAACUGAGACACGGUCCAGACUCCUACGGGAGGCAGCAGUGGGGAAUAUUGGACAAUGGGCGCAAGCCUGAUGCAGCCAUGCAGCGUGUGUGAAGAAGGCCUUCGGGUUGUAAAGUACUUUCAGCGGGGAGGCGUUACCCGCAGAAGAAGCACCGGCUAACUCCGUGCCAGCAGCCGCGGUAAUAC